rnacentral:rRNA from 1 species
GGGUCAGUAGGUUGGUCGUGCCACCGGUACGUACUGGUCUCACUGAUUCCUCCUUCCUGAAGAACCGUAAUGCCAUUAAUCUGGUGUUGCGGGGAAACAGGACCGUUACUUUGAAAAAAUUAGAGUGUUUAAAGCAAGCUAACGCUUGAACACAUUAGCAUGGAAUAAUGAAAUAGGACGAUCGAUCCUAUUUUGUUGGUUUCUAGGAUUGACGUA